rnacentral:lncRNA from 1 species
UAACUCAUGUGACCUCACGUGCAGCCCGCCCCGGGAGGCACGAUCACGAUCACUGCCCGCCUUCCGGCUGUGGCACUGAGGCCCAGGAAGAGGUGGACCGCCUCCGCCCUCGGGGCCGCCUGCCGCGGAGGACAGGCCGGGGAGACGCGGCCCGCAGAGCCGUGCGCUCGGCCGCCACUCAAGACGAACAGGGUCCGCCCGUGGCCGGGAGGGAGGCGCGGGCCCACGGCCCGGCGCCCGGCGCCCGCUCACCCCCGGCCGGUCCGGGGCACCCAGCGUGGGCGCUCGGGAGGCCGGCGCGCAGGCCGGCAGAGGGAGCUGAGCCCACGCGCCCCGCCCGGGCCGCGCCUCGCCCGCAACCCGCGCCGCCGCCCCAGGGACCGAGGCGCGUGCCAGGGCGGGCUGCGCAUGCGCGUGCGCACGGCGGGGCGCGGCGCGGCGUGUGCACGCGAGCCGGGGGCGGGCGGCGGCCGGGGGCGCAUGCGCACCGGGGCGCCGAGGCUGGAGGCGUGCCCGGCUCAGGAGAGCGGUGCUUUCGGUCCAGUCUGCUUCUCGCUGGCGGGCGCCCACCCUCAUGAGCUCGGUGUGACCAUCCCGUUUUUACUGAUGGUGGGAUUGAGUGAGGCGGAGCGAGGUUAGAGCGACUCGCAGCCCUGGGAAGGCCGAAGCCCCCUGACCGAGUGUGUCGCUUGCUGGUCCUGGCCUUGGAGACUCAGGCGUGCUGGGUUCCAUGCGGUGGCCUGCUCAGUGCAUCCGGCCCGGAGAGUUGGCUGGAAGCAGCGUGUGAUCUGGUUUGAGUCCCCUGAGGGUGCCGGUGAAGAUGUGUGCCACGAGCCCACACUGCCUCCACAGUGGUGGCUGCCAAAACGAACAGCUGUGAAAUGACUUGUCGGGAAGGGUGUGACAGCGUGCUGGAAGAGAUUCGGCUCCCGGCCAAAUAACUUUACCACCUGAAGUCCCGGGCGGCUGUGUCGAGGGCCCCGCUGAGGCUGCCUGAGGACCCGAGCGCGUGGCCCACAGAGCCCCGCACGGUGCUCGCUGCGGACAGCGUGCUGCCCGGUCGUUGUGUGUGCGCCUCUGGGUACAUGCACAGUGUUCCCCCUGUAUGUGCAUUUAUGUGCGUAAAAGUAUAGCUACGUGCUGAAGUUUUUAUGAGUAAAAGGAGAAAAAAGGGGCCGGCCUGGUGGCGCAGCAGUGAAGUUCGCAUGUGCCACCUGGGUGCGGACAUGACACCGCUCGGCAAGCCAUGCUCUGGCAGGCGUCCCACAUAUAAAGUAGAGGAAGAUGGGCAUGGAUGUUAGGGCAUCUUCCUCAGCAAAAAGAGGAGGAUUGGCAGCAGAUGUUAGCUCAGGGCUAAUCUUCCUCAAAAAACAAAAAAGGAGAAGAAAAAGGGCAUGAGGGGGUGGGUAGAAAAGAUGGCAGCACGCUGGUGGUAAUUGAAGCUGGAUGAUGGCCACGUGGGAGUUCCGUCUACUCUUCUCUCUGCUUCUGUGUACAUUUGAAAAUUCUAAAAUAAAAAGGUCUAAAGAUAUGUAGAGUAUUUAAACAUUUGUUUAAGCCUUUGAUCCGCUCUCUACCCUCUGCGCCCAGCCUUGCCCAGACGCUGUGCUGGGCGUCUGGACGCUG